rnacentral:rRNA from 1 species
AGUGAACGCUGGCGGUAGGCCUAACACAUGCAAGUCGAACGGCAGCACAGUAAGAGCUUGCUCUUACGGGUGGCGAGUGGCGGACGGGUGAGGAAUACAUCGGAAUCUACUUUUUCGUGGGGGAUAACGUAGGGAAAAUUACGCUACUACCGCAUACGACCUACGGGGGAAAGCAGGGGAUCUUCGGCCCUUGCGCGAGUGAAUGAGCCGAUGUCGGGUUGGCUAGUUGGCGGGGUAAAGGCCCACCAAGGCGACGAUCGGUAGCUGGUCUGAGAGGAUGAGCGGGCACACGGGGAGUGAGAGACGGACACGACUCCUACGGGAGGCAGCAGUGGGGAGUUUUGGACAAUGGGCGAGAGCUUGAUCCAGCAAUGCCGCGUGUGUGAUGAAGGCCUUCGGGUUGUAAAGCACUUUUGGCGGGAACGAAAAGGACUGUGCCAAUACCACGGUUCGAUGACGGUACCCGAAGAAUAAGCACCGGCUAACUACGUG